rnacentral:rRNA from 1 species
GACGAACGCUGGCGGCGUGCUUAACACAUGCAAGUCGAACGGAAAGGCCCUGCUUUUGUGGGGUGCUCGAGUGGCGAACGGGUGAGUAACACGUGAGUAACCUGCCCUUGACUUUGGGAUAACUUCUGGAAACUGGGGCUAAUACCGGAUAGGAGCUCUUGCUGCAUGGUGGGGGUUGGAAAGUUUCGGCGGUUGGGGCUGGACUCGCGGCUUAUCAGCUUGUUGGUGGGGUUGUGGCUUACCAAGGCUUUGACGGGUAGCCGGCCUGAGCGGGUGACCGGCGACAUUGGGACUGAGAUACGGCCCAGACGCCUACGGGAGGCAGCAGUGGGGAAUAUUGCACAAUGGGCGGAAGCCUGAUGCAGCAACGCCGCGUGCGGGAUGACGGCCUUCGGGUUGUAAACCGCUUUCGCCUGUGACGAAGCGUGAGUGACGGUAAUGGGUAAAGAAGCACCGGCUAACUACGUG